AGUCUGAUGGAGCAACGCCGCGUGAGCUGAAGAAGGCUUUCGGGUCGUAAAACUCUGUUAUUGAAGAAGAACGUGUGUGACAGUAACUGGUCAUGCAGUGACGGUAUUCAAUCAGAAAGUCACGGCUAACUACGUGCCAGCAGCCGCGGUAAUACGUAGGUGGCAAGCGUUGUCCGGAUUUAUUGGGCGUAAAGCGAGUGCAGGCGGUCUUUUAAGUCUGAUGUGAAAGCCUUCGGCUUAACCGAAGAAGGGCAUCGGAAACUGGGAGACUUGAGUGCAGAAGAGGAGAGUGGAACUCCAUGUGUAGCGGUGAAAUC
rnacentral:rRNA from 1 species